UUACUUAGUGGCGGACGGGUGAGUAACGCGUGGGGAACCUGCCCUGUACCGGGGGAUAGCAGCCGGAAACGGCUGAUAAUACCGCAUAAGCGCACGAAUGUCGCAUGACAUGGUGUGAAAAACUCCGGUGGUAUAGGAUGGACCCGCGUCUGAUUAGCCGGUUGGUGGGGUAAAAGCCUACCAAAGCGAAGAUCAGUAGCCGGCCUGAGAGGGCGGACGGCCACAUUGGGACUGAGAUACGGCCCAGACUCCUACGGGAGGCAGCAGAA
rnacentral:rRNA from 1 species